rnacentral:lncRNA from 1 species
UUGAAGAGUUUUGCUUUUUAAUUAAAAAGAGCGAUAUUUCAAGGUUCUUCUGGCAGCAGUAUGGAGAGUGGCCGUCGGGGCAACCUGGAUGGGAAGAAAGAGGUGUGUUAGGAAGCUGUUACAGUUGGUCACGGAGGACUUAAUGGCUUGGGCCGGAGGGAUGGAAAUGGAGAGGAGUGGACAGAUUCAGAAUGUAUUUUUGGAGCUGGAACCAAUAAUUCCUACUGACAGAUUGUGAGAGGAGAAAAGGGGAGAAUCAAGGAAGACUCUGGUGAUUUUGUUUUGAGAAGUGGGGUUGGAGGUUAAUACCACUCACUCAGAUGGGGGAGACUUGGAGAGGACCAGGUUUAUGGGCAAAACAUCUAGCUUUUGUGUAGGUGAUGGCCUGGUGGUAGCUAUUGACACCCUCAUCACUAUUGUAGUGGAUGCAGCGGCAUGCUGCCCAGAUCCCCUCUUCAGAGCCAAGACCCCAAUCCUCCAGCCGAUGGGAAGGUCACAGUUAUUACUCAUCAGAAACCUGCUCUCCUUCCGAGGCCAUGCCUCCUCCUUCAACAAGGCUGGAGCUUGGAUGCAGAAACACUGGGGCAGAGGUCCCCUCAUCUCCCACCUCUGCUCUCUCACAGAAAACUGCGCCAAACAAAAGGAAGGGAGCCUCUGCCUCACUUCCGCUUCACAUCUCAGCUUGAUGGCAUUCGGAAAGUGCCUGCCUCAAAGUGGAUGUCACUUCUCUCACAUUUCAUUGACCAAAUCAAGUCACAUGCCGAUGCCUGAAUUCAACAGGUGCCUCCCUUGGAAAAUUCACAAGAACUCUCUAGAUGAACCUCACAUUCCUCGGCUUCUGUCAUCAUAGAUCCAGUUUAGCAGAUGGCAGGGGCUUCCGAUCAUUCAGAAGGUAUUUCCUGAGCACCUUCAGUGCCAGGCACUGGGUCUCAGCAGAGAUGAAGCAUCCAAACUCUUUGUGCCUGUGUGUGCACGUGUGUGUGUGUGUGUGUGUGUGUGUGUUCUACGUGAGCUACAUGAGCAAGACGAACCUCCCACACAGCACAGAGGAAGUUGCUCAGCACUGGAGCCAGCUAGCCCCACAUUUGGAACUGGACUCUGCUGUGCAAAGUUGGGUGACCCUAGGGAAGAGCCCCAGCCUCCCUGGGCCUCCGUUUCCACAUCCCUUAGAGGGCCUAGCCAGACCCUGCCUCACAGGGCCACACACGAGACUCCACUAAGGUGGUGUACAAAGACUUGCGGUGGGGCCUGGGGAGGGGUGUCAGUGGCCAGGAAAGCAAGCCGGGUGAAUGGUGGACCCUCCCAGAGGGAUGUGUGCUACCCUGGGAGGUCUGGACUCCUUCCUCCCAGUGUGUGCCUUUAGGCAGAUGGCUGCCAGCGUAGGUCCUCAAUAAAGAAUGGGUCCACCCCAGUAUCAUUCGAGGUCCCCACAGGAAACAGAAUU